GUCCCUUCAGGGACAUCUAAUAAAAUUGGAACGAUACAGAGAAAAUUAGCAUGGCAAGGAUGACACGCACAAAUCGAGAAAUGGUCCAAAUUUUU
rnacentral:snRNA from 1 species